GAAGCGGCAACAGCUCAAAUUUGAAAUCUGGCCUCGGCCCGAGUUGUAAUUUGUAGAGGAUGCUUUUGGCGCGGCGCCUUCCGAGUUCCCUGGAACGGGACGCCAGAGAGGGUGAGAGCCCCGUACGGUUGGAUGCCAAGCCUCUGUAAAGCUCCUUCGACGAGUCGAGUAGUUUGGGAAUGCUGCUCAAAAUGGGAGGUAAAUGCCUUCUAAAGCUAAAUACUGGCCAGAGACCGAUAGCGCACAAGUAGAGUGAUCGAAAGAUGAAAAGCACUUUGAAAAGAGGGUUAAAUAGCACGUGAAAUUGUUGAAAGGGAAGCGCUCAUGACCAGACGUGUGCCUCGUGAAUCAUCCGGCGUUCUCGCCGGUGCACUUCGCCUGGCACAGGCCAGCAUCGGUUUUCCCAGGGGGAUAAAAGCCGCGGGAACGUAGCUCUUCCGGGAGUGUUAUAGCCCGUGGCACAAUGCCCUUGGGGGGACCGAGGCCCGCGCUCCGCAAGGAUGCUGGCGUAAUGGUCAUCAGCGACCCGUCUUGAAACACGGACCAAGGAGUCAAGCAUUAGGGCGAGUGUUUGGGUGUCAAACCCGCACGCGAAAUGAAAGUGAACGCAGGUGAGAGCUUCGGCGCAUCAUCGACCGAUCCUGAUGUAUUCGGAUGGAUUUGAGUAAGAGCCUUACCGCUUGGACCCGAAAGAUGGUGAACUAUGCCUGGAUAGGGUGAAGCCAGAGGAAACUCUGGUGGAGGCUCGCAGCGGUUCUGACGUGCAAAUCGAUCGUCAAAUCUGGGCAUGGGGGCGAAAGACUAAUCGAACCAUCUAGUAGCUGGUUACCGCCGAAGUUCCCUCAGGAUAGCAGUGUUGUUUUCAGUUUAUGAGGUAAAGCGAAUGAUUAGGGACUC
rnacentral:rRNA from 1 species